AUUGAACGCUGGCGGCAGGCUUAACACAUGCAAGUCGAGCGGAGAUGAGGUGCUUGCACCUUAUCUUAGCGGCGGACGGGUGAGUAAUGCUUAGGAAUCUGCCUAUUAGUGGGGGACAGCAUUCCGAAAGGAAUGCUAAUACCGCAUACGCCCUACGGGGGAAAGCAGGGGAUCUUCGGACCUUGCGCUAAUAGAUGAGCCUAAGUCGGAUUAGCUAGUUGGUGGGGUAAAGGCCUACCAAGGCGACGAUCUGUAGCGGGUCUGAGAGGAUGGUCCGCCACACUGGGACUGAGACGCGGCCCAGACUCCUACGGGAGGCAGCAGUGGGGAAUAUUGGACAAUGGGCGGAAGCCUGAUCCAGCCAUGCUGCGUGUGUGAAGAAGGCCUUUUGGUUGUAAAGCACUUUAAGCGAGGAGGAGGCUACCUGGAUUAAUACUCUAGGAUAGUGGACGUUACUCGCAGAAUAAGCACCGGCUAACUCUGUGCCAGCCGCCGCGGUAAGAC
rnacentral:rRNA from 1 species